rnacentral:rRNA from 1 species
AGGACGUCUACAUUAGAUACCCCCUGUAGUCCCAGCCGUAAACUAUGCGCGUUAGGUGUAUCGGUGACCACGAGUCACCGAGGUGCCGAAGGGAAACCGUGAAACGUGCCGCCUGGGAAGUACGGUCGCAAGGCUGAAACUUAAAGGAAUUGGCGGGGAGCACCACAACGGGUGGAGCCUGCGGUUUAAUUGGACUCAACGCCGGGAAGCUCACCGGAUAAGACAGCGGAAUGAUUGCCGGGCUGAAGACUCUGCAUGACUAGCUG